rnacentral:rRNA from 1 species
AAAAACAUCUCCUAAAGAAAUAAAUUUUAGGUAAAACCUGCUCAAUGAACUUUUAAAUAGCCGCAAGUAGUUGCGCUAAGGUAGCAUAAUAAUUUGCUCUUUAAUUGAGAGAUAGAAUGAAAGGUUUAACGUGAAGAAAACUUUUUUAAAGUGAAAAAAAUUAAAAUUAACCUUUAAGUCAAAAGGCUUAAAUGUAACUGAUGGACGAGAAGACCCUAUAGAACUUCAUUAUAUAAAAUUUAUAGAAAUUUUUUUUAAAAAAUUAAUCAUAAAAAUUUAGUAAUUUAACUGGGAUAGUUAAACUAUAAAAGUAAUUAGUUUUUUAUUAAACACUCAUAAGUGAAAAAAUUAAUUUGAACCAAUGUUGAUUAUAAGAAUAAGUUACCUUAGGGAUAACAGCGUUAUUUUUUCAAAGAGUUCCAAUCGAUGAAAAACAUUGCGACCUCGAUGUUGGAUUAAGAUUUAUAAAAGGAGUAGAAGCUUUUUUAAAUAUUUGGUCUGUUCGACCAUUAAAAUCUUACGUGAUCUGA